rnacentral:piRNA from 1 species
UCCCCAGGAUGCGCUGAGCCUUGAGAC